rnacentral:rRNA from 1 species
GACGAACGCUGGCGGCGUGCUUAACACAUGCAAGUCGUACGGUAAGGCCCUUUCGGGGGUACACGAGUGGCGAACGGGUGAGUAACACGUGAGUAACCUGCCCACAACUUUGGGAUAACGCUAGGAAACUGGUGCUAAUACUGGAUAUGUGCUCCUGCUGCAUGGUGGGGGUUGGAAAGCUCCGGCGGUUGUGGAUGGACGCGCGGCCGAUCAGCUUGUUGGUGGGGUAGUGGCCUACCAAGGCGGCGACGGGUAGCCGGCCUGAGAGGGUGACCGGCCACCUUGGGACUGGGAUACGGCCCCGACUCCUACGGGAGGCAGCAGUGGGGGAUAUUGCACAAUGGGCGCGAGCCUGAUGCAGCCACGCCGCGUGCGGGAUGACGGCCUUCGGGUUGUAAACCGCUUUCAGCAGGGACGAAGCUUUUUGUGACGGUACCUGCAGAAGAAGCACCGGCUAACUACGUG